CUUAAAUUGCACACAUGAGUGAAAUCAUAUGGUAUUUAUUUUUCUCUGACUUAUGUCACUUACCAUACAGUCUAGCUCUAUCCACAUGGUUGCAAAUGGCAAGAUUUCAUUCUUUUUGAUUGCUGAGUAAUACUCCAUUGUAUAUAUAUACACCACAUCUUCUUUAUCC